GCAUAAUAAGAAAAGAGAAUGAUGAAACAUAACGGGGUUUGAAUCACCAUCAUUUGUGCUCUGGUGGUGUAAAGACUGAAUUAACAUCAAGUCUGAUAAGAUGAAUGAAAGCGGUAUUGAGGGGCGUGAAACAGCGUCACUAGAACUCAAUCAGGAAGAAAUGUCUGAAGUAAAAGUUUUAGAUUAUCGUGCAAUGAUAGUUGAUACUAUUGCUGGAGCCAAUGCUGGGACAGCCUGUGUCUUUGCUGGUCAACCUUUUGAUACAGUAAAGGUUAAGAUGCAAGUGUUUCCUAAUCUUUAUAAAAAUGCGUUUGAAUGCUUUAAACGAACAUUAAAGGAAGAAAGGUUUCGUGGUCUAUAUGCAGGGACUGGACCAGCACUUGUCACUCAGAUAGCUGAGAAUUCCAUCCUUUUUCUUUGUUAUGGUCGAUGUCAAACAAUUAUUCAAAGUAUUUUUCAAGUUCCACAUGUUGAUGACCUUAGUGUAUUUCAAAAUGCAUGUGCCGGUAGUGUUGCUGCUUUUAUUACGUCAUUUGCAUUGUGUCCAACUGAAUUGAUCAAAUGUAAAUUGCAAGCCCAACAUCAAAUGAGGCAGAGGGGUGGUGAUAAUGGCAAGAAACCUCUAGGUGGUCUUGCACUAACAGCCCAAAUCAUUAGAAAUGAAGGACCCCUGGGCUUAUAUCGUGGUUUUGUGAGUACGUGUACGCGAGAAGUUGGCGGAUAUUUCUUCUUUUUUGGUGGUUAUCAAUUAAGCAAACGUCUUCUAACACCGGAGGGAAAAACAGUUGAUGACUUAGGUCCUCUAGAAGUUGCUAUAUCAGGAGGAAUCGCAGGAGCAUGUUUCUGGGCGUCUGUUUUUCCUACAGACGUCGUAAAAUCUAGAGUUCAGACUGGUAGCAAUGACAGUGGUUAUCCAAAAGGAUUUUUGAGUCUAACCUACUCUAUUUUUAAAAAGGAAGGUAUUCGAGCAUUAUAUAAAGGUCUUGGCCCGGCUAUUGUACGAUGUUUCCCAGCGAAUGCAGCUUUAUUCUUAGCAUAUGAAGGAACAGAACGGUUACUAAAGCCAAACAAAUCUGCGUGAAGAUUAUUAAUUGCCUGAAAAGUCAAGUGCAGUAAGUAUUACUUGAGAUACAAAGUAAAAUAUUCGAUAUUGUUAGUGUCGCUAUGUGGGUGUCAUACACUCCCUGCUGCAUUCCGGAUGUGGCAAUUUAUUCGCACUAUGGUGAAAAGAUAAAAGGACAAUUUACUACAGAUCAAGCCAUUCGCCAGAAGAUAGUUGUGCUUGAGUCAUCCUUCAAGGAUCAAAAAGUUGCACAUAACAGACUGGAAGAAAUCGGACAGUAAACAUUUUAAUAAUGAAGAAAAUUCACGUACAGACGACUUUCUUUCUUAUUCUUAUCCUCGUCACCGUUGCCUCGCCAGCAAGUACGAGCUGUCAACAAAAAAAGUUACGCUGUCAAACGGAUUCGUUAGCUUGCCUCAAGGUCUGCACACAGUUAGCACAAUGCGAGGCAUGCCAGAAAACCUAUAAGCAAUGUUCAACAAUGUGCAAGACCACGAAAAAGCAUUCGAAGAAACAGAAUAUAAAAAAGAUCAAGCGUAAAAUAAAAAAGUUAUUGAAACUGUUGUGACUUGUUCAUUGACUUCACUAGUGAAAAUAGUGCUGAAAAUAUUAUAUGGUAGUAGAAAAUCACAUGCAACAGCAGG